UACGUAGGGUGCGAGCAUUGUCCGGAAUUAUUGGGCGUAAAGAGCUUGUAGGCGGUUUGUCGCGUCUGCCGUGAAAAUUCGAGGCUCAACCUCGAACUUGCGGUGGGUACGGGCAGACUAGAGUGUGGUAGGGGGGACUGGAAUUCCUGGUGUAGCGGUGAAAUGCGCAGAUAUCAGGAGGAACACCGAUGGCGAAGGCAGGUCUCUGGGCCACUACUGACGCUGAGAAGCGAAAGCAUGGGGAGCGAACAGG
rnacentral:rRNA from 1 species